rnacentral:rRNA from 1 species
UACAGAGGGGGCGAGCGUUGUUCGGAAUUACUGGGCGUAAAGGGCGCGUAGGCGGCCCGCUAAGUCGAACGUGAAAUCCCCAGGCUUAACCUGGGAACUGCGUCCGAUACUGGCAGGCUUGAAUCCGGGAGAGGGAUGUGGAAUUCCAGGUGUAGCGGUGAAAUGCGUAGAUAUCAGGAGGAACACCGGUGGUGUAGACGGCUUUCUGGACCGUAACUGACGCUGAGACACGAAAGCGUGGGUAGCAAACAGG